GUUACUGUGGAUCAAGGUGGAUCAUCCUCUUCUUGUUGACAAAAUGGCUUGAGAUUGUGAGGAAGGCGUGGGUUCAAACCCCACCAGCAGUA